rnacentral:rRNA from 1 species
UACAGAGGUCUCAAGCGUUGUUCGGAUUCAUUGGGCGUAAAGGGUGCGUAGGUGGCGGGGCAAGUUUGGUGUGAAAUCCCGGGGCUCAACCCCGGAACUGCACUGAAUACUGCCUUGCUUGAGCACUGGAGAGGGAACUGGAAUUUACGGUGUAGCAGUGAAAUGCGUAGAUAUCGUAAGGAAGACCAGUGGCGAAGGCGAGUUCCUGGACAGUUGCUGACACUGAGGCACGAAGGCUAGGGGAGCAAACAGG